GAUGAACGCUGGCUACAGGCUUAACACAUGCAAGUCGAGGGGAAACGACGGGGAAGCUUGCUUCCCCGGGCGUCGACCGGCGCACGGGUGAGUAACGCGUAUCCAACCUGCCUCUGACUGAGGGAUAACCCGUCGAAAGUCGGCCUAAUACCUCAUGGCAUCGUCUGCGGGCAUCCAACUACGAUUAAAGAUUUCAUCGGUCAGAGAUGGGGAUGCGUCUGAUUAGCUUGUUGGCGGGGUAACGGCCCACCAAGGCGACGAUCAGUAGGGGUUCUGAGAGGAAGGUCCCCCACAUUGGAGCUGAGACACGGACCAAACUACUACAGGAGGCAGCAGUGAGGAAUAUUGGUCAAUGGGCGAGAGCCUGAACCAGCCAAGUAGCGUGCAGGAUGACGACGCUAUGGGUUGUAAACUGCUUUUAUGCGGGGAUAAAGUGAGGGACGUGUCCUACAUUGCGGGUACCGCAUGAAUAAGGACCGGCUAAUUCCGUG
rnacentral:rRNA from 1 species